ACCGAAUUUCAUGAAGGAGCUUACCGGUCUGAUUGGCGAUGUGGUACCUAAGCUUGUCACCGCUGGAUAUGUGCUUGACGUCAAACUGUUUGACGAUGCGGGCAGAUAUGGUGCCCUUGCCGGAACCCGGAGCGCCCAAGAUAACCGCCCGAAAGGCCGCCUGGGCUGCCAUCCUAGAGUAGCUUACACCAACCAUAGCUGUUUUGGUCGUUGACCCUGUGUCCUGAUCCUCUUGCUGACGACCGAGAUCCGCCUGUUUACCGUCCGAUCUUCACAGAAUGAAUUUAUAGAACAACAUUAUAGUAUAUUACGAUACAGGUGCGCGAACCGGAUGAUUAGCGCACGGGCGAGAGUGGGUGCACCUGCACAACGCAGGAGUAUCGUAUACUACUUAUUUUUUGACAACUCCGCGUGCGAUAAGUGGCCUUCUUAAAUGUAGAGCGUGCGCGAAAUUGAAAGUUUCGCACACAGCAGGCGCUCUAGUUUAGUGCGAGAAUCCGGCAUUUCACACACGUUAGGUGAUAUCUAACUUCGCAUAUUAUGUUAAUGAGUCUGAUCCACAGUAGUGCAUAUCAAACCCAAAUGAAUUCAACAACUCAUCACUAUAUAACACGUUAAUCUGAUUAUCUCGUGCAAUCGCAAAGCUCCGUUGAAAUGAAAGCUUAUCAAAACACAACAGAAUCUCAAUCAAUCCUAGACAACCGCAACCAUGCAUUCACGAUGCUGAAAAAUCACACUGACACGUGCGCGUAAUCCAAGACGCUGCAUUACGUCAUAAUAUAAUAUAUCUGCUCGAGAGCCCCAUCAGAUGGCACUUUUUUCCUCGUGAGCGUCCGGGAAAAAACAACGUAUAUAAGUAACAGACGCCGGUGGCCGACCUUGUGCCGAUGCGAUCGCCGCAAGCGAUGGACUUUGGAACGCGUUCAAGAUCAGACUGCCACUCGCGGAGGUGACUGCACUUACACCGAUGAUUAUCUAGCGUAUGACGGCAGCGGACAUUCGCCCUUGAAUAUGGCGACGUCUGACUGUGAAUGGGAUUGUUACAAUAUGUGGGAGUCUGCAACUUAUUCUUUAUUUAUAAUUACAUAGAAGGUAUGUGGAUAAGAGGAGAAAAUUUCAUUAUUAAAAAAGAUCGAUCGUAUGGUUUUUAGUAGAUGUGUAUAAUAUAAGUACACCGAUCUGUGCACAUAGGCCAGUUAAUUUGUCUUGAAUUAUAAGCACAUUGCUCCAUACGUUCAACGAUUUUGUUUUCGAUCACGAAAAUAGCCACCUUAUUCGACUUCUGAGAAAAUUGUACAAUGCGCCUACUUAUAUAAUGGUCAGUGAACGAAAACAAUUAUUUAAUUCACGAAGCCUGUACGUGAAAAACCGUUUAUACCACAGCACACGAGCGACAUACUUCGAAAAGUUUUCAUUUCAGUAAUUACCAAAUAUCUUGUGGAACCACGUGUUCGUUAAAAAAAAGUGUAGGUAUAGUCAAAAAACCGCCAUAACAAUUACCUGCACCCUUCGAACAAAAUCUCCUUCUCGAUAAAAAAAAAAACGCAACAACGACAGCCACACGAAAUAAAAUGUAGGUACACACGCGCGCGCAAAAAGCACGAGACUGAUAUAUCUCAGUCAGCAACUAGCGACCACAAACGACUUACACUGGGCGCGAUGAGUCUGCACGGAGUAUAGUCUAUAGACUGCUGUCAGGGGCCAGUAUACGCGUGUAUUAUCGUCUCGCGUUGAUAAGCCUUUUUUUCGAUUAAAGAGUGAGAACUCGAAUGUAGAUUGCCACGACGAGCGUAUCCUAUUAUUGUAUAUCAUUAAUACGAUUGAGAUGCUUCGCGAAUUUCAAACGUGAUUAACGCAUGACAAUACUGGUUUCCAUUGCUGCUACAGCUGAUGAAACUAGCUUUGCUUUUUGAGUAAGAAGACGAUGCGAUUUGACGAUUUCGUGGGUAACUCGCAUAGCAAUAUCAAGCUAAUAUAAUGAUAUACGAACGGCGUGACAUAACGCAAACGCGUGACUUUGAACUUGAUCGACAUUUCGUCAAGCUCGAAAGCUAAUACUCACGUGACGAGCAGACAAGUCACGCACAAAGCAACGACAAGAGCUUUUCUCAAAAAUCCCUCCAUAAUAGCGCAAAAUUUCAUGGAGACAACACUCGUCGACCGACCGAUUAAGCGAACCGAUUCAAACAUUUCCAAUGCACGAUUGCACUCCAAACCGCAACUACUUAUGAGUCUCGGUAAUUUUUCACAACGAAAUCGCAUGUGUAUGUAUACCGUACGUUUGAUUUUCCGUUCUCACGUCGGCUCCAUCCGAAAAACCGGUCGCCUGCGCUUCUCGAGCGAUACUGAAUUCACUGCUGCUGCUGCUGCAAGGCUCUUCCGCUAUACAGUGGCUAUAUACUGUGCUGUAUUAUUAUAGCGAGUAGUGAAUGUGACGCGCGCAGCUACGUCGAGCCAAGAUUGUUUCGAAUACUUACUUAUGUGAAUUCGGGACGAUAGUUGUGGAUUAGAAUUUGAGCUGCGUAUAAGUGGCUUGGAAGUUUUUUUUUUGGUAGUUCAAGUUUUUUAAUUAUAUUUGUUUUUUGUUUUUUAUGAUGAAUGCGAGACGCAGCGUUAUACAUAUGAAAUUUUUUUGCAGAGUGGAAAAGAAUUGCUUCGUAUUCAUGGAAGAGUAUUUUUCUGAUUCUCACAUUCUAGAGCAGUACGAAUUAUAGCUCGCCCUUUUAUUGAUUAUUUCCAUCUUAAAUAGCUGACCUGCGUGCCACGGCAGUUAAAAAUGCGCCGGUCGUUAAAAUUAUAAUUUAUACUCUUCUAAAAAAUACACGCCGGUUCUAUUCGCUCUGUCCUGUGUAAUAUUCGCCAAGAAAUGUUAAAGAUCACGUUGACAGCACUUGGUGCAUCCAAAAAUGAAUUCUCAAUUAAUUAAAAAAUCGCUUAUUAAAUCGAACUAAACGCUGUAUUAUUAAACAUGUUGCGCGAACGUUAGUACAAAAUAUCAACAGAGUUAAGCAAAUCAUGCUGAAAUGAAUGAAACCCCGACUACUUACUGGCAUGAUUGAAAAAUACUAUCUCUGUCCAGCGAAAUGCAAUCAGUGCACCAAUAGUGUUUUAAGCACCAUGCAAUGACAAGUGAUGCGACUAUCCCGAUCGCACGUAUGUUCAGCGUCAUAUUUUUUAUCAUUUCCCAAUUGUCUGUAAGUAAAUUUUUCAUUGUUUACAGAAAAGUCAAAAAUAUAAGACACAAAAGUU